rnacentral:rRNA from 1 species
GAUGAACGCUAGCGAUAGGCUUAACACAUGCAAGUCGAGGGGCAGCAUGAUCUUAGCUUGCUAAGGUCGAUGGCGACCGGCGCACGGGUGCGUAACGCGUAUGCAACUUGCCUUACAGAGGGGGAUAACCCGUUGAAAGACGGACUAAAACCGCAUACACUUGUAUUAUUGCAUGAUAUUACGAGGGAAUAUUUAUAGCUGUAAGAUAGGCAUGCGUCCCAUUAGCUAGUUGGUGAGGUAACGGCUCACCAAGGCAACGAUGGGUAGGGGAACUGAGAGGUUUAUCCCCCACACUGGUACUGAGACACGGACCAGACUCCUACGGGAGGCAGCAGUGAGGAAUAUUGGUCAAUGGGCGAGAGCCUGAACCAGCCAAGUCGCGUGAAGGAAGACAGUCCUAAGGAUUGUAAACUUCUUUUAUACGGGAAUAACGGGCGAUACGAGUAUUGCAUUGAAUGUACCGUAAGAAUAAGCAUCGGCUAACUCCGUGCCAGCAGCCGCGGUAAUACGGAGGAUGCGAGCGUUAUCCGGAUUUAUUGGGUUUAAAGGGUGCGUAGGUUGUUCGGUAAGUCAGCGGUGAAACCUGAGCGCUCAACGUUCAGCCUGCCGUUGAAACUGCCGGGCUUGAGUUCAGUGGCGGCAGGCGGAAUUCGUGGUGUAGCGGUGAAAUGCAUAGAUAUCACGAGGAACUCCGAUUGCGAAGGCAGCUUGCCAUACUGCGACUGACACUGAAGCACGAAGGCGUGGGUAUCAAACAGGAUUAGAUACCCUGGUAGUCCACGCAGUAAACGAUGAUUACUAGGAGUUUGCGAUAUACCGUCAAGCUUCCACAGCGAAAGCGUUAAGUAAUCCACCUGGGGAGUACGCCGGCAACGGUGAAACUCAAAGGAAUUGACGGGGGCCCGCACAAGCGGAGGAACAUGUGGUUUAAUUCGAUGAUACGCGAGGAACCUUACCCGGGCUUGAACUGCGGCGGAACGAUUCAGAGAUGAUGAGGUCCUUC